rnacentral:lncRNA from 1 species
UCAAACGAAGCAAACCAUUUCUCAUAAGAGAAUAGAAAAUCACAAGAAAGAUUUGAUCAAAAGUGACUAGAAAAGAGGCGGUCGAGAAGGAAUGAGUGGAAACUAUGUUGAUUGAGUGCAAUUUCUAAACUAGGAAAGAUUAGACAGAAUCCUACGUACCAAUCUAAAUCAAAGUUUCCAACAGUGAAAGGCUGCCCCUGUCGGCGGGUUGCUUAGGUCCAUGUAGUCCAAAUCUCCGCUUAGGAAAGAAGUCCAAGUUGACUUUUUGCGAAAGGAAAAAUGGCUUUCUCUUAGAGAGUGAUCGAGAGAAAUUUUCAGUUCGGAGCCAGUCUUUUGCAGCUAGGAGACAUUGUUGUUAUGUUUUCCAGUUAUGAGCCAUUGUUGUGUGGUCGAGCGGUUCCUUCUUUUUUUUUUCGAUGAUUUAAAGGCGACAGCUCUUUUCACCAAGGAACUGGGGCUUAGAGCUAUAACACAUACGCAAGAAGGAAGAAUGCCUUAAUGGACGGGUACGCUAAGGAAGGGGAGUCGCUUGCUUGUUUGGUGUGUUUGGAACCGGGUUGUUUAAAGCUACCCUUUCUUGAAGAAAGAGAACCUGGGC